GACGAACGCUGGCGGCGUGCCUAAUACAUGCAAGUCGAACGCAGGGGGGACGGGUGAGUAACACGUGGGUAACCUCCCAUCAGAGGGGAUAACAGGUGGAAACAGGUGCUAAACUGAUACUGAUGGCUGGACCAGCGGUGCAUUAGCUAGUUGGUGUGGUAAGGGCUCACCAAGGCAACGAUGCAUAGCCGACCUGAGAGGGUGAUCGGCCACACUGGAACUGAGACACGGUCCAGACUCCUACGGGAGGCAGCAGUAGGGAAUCUUCCGCAAUGGACGAAAGUCUGACCGAGCAACGCCGCGUGAGUGAAGAAGGUUUUCGGAUCGUAAAACUCUGUUGUUAGAGAAGCGGUAUCUAACCAGAAAGCCACGGCUAACUACGUGCCAGCAGCCGCGGUAAUAC
rnacentral:rRNA from 1 species